CUGUUUGCAUUCAUCCUAUUGAUAUAUGUGCUGACAGUACUGGGGAACCUGGCCAUUAUCAUCCUCACAUGACUUGAUUCCCGCCUCCACUCACCCAUGUACUUCUUCCUCUGCAACUUCUCCUUCAUGGAGAUGCUGGUCACUUCCACUGUUGUUCCUAGGAUGCUGGCAGACCUGCUAUGCACUCAUAAGACCAUUUCCCUGAGUGCCUCACCCAGUCUUUCUUUUACUUCUUUUUGGGUUCCACCAACUUCCUGAUUCUCACAGUCAUGGCCUUCAAUCGCUAUGUGGCCAUCUGCUGCCCUCUGCACUACCCAACCAUCAUGAAUGGUCCAGUGUGUGUGAAGCUGGUGGUGGUCUGCUGGGUGGUCGGCUUCCUCUCCAUCAUCUCCCCCAUCCUGCAGAAAACACGGCUACGGUUCUGCGGCCCUAACAUCAUCAGCCACUACUUGUGUGACUCUUCCCCACUUCUCAAGCUUUCCUGCUCCGAUACCUGCCACAUUGAAUGCACGGACUUCUUCUCGUCCUUACUGUUUGUGCUGGCCACCAUGCUGCUCAUCAUAGUGUCCUACAUCCUCAUUGUGGCUGCAGUGCUGCACAUCCCCUCCUUCUCUGGGUGCCAGAAGGCCUUCUCCACCUGUGUCUCCCACCUCACUGUGGUUGUUCUGGGCUAUGGCAGUGACAUCUUCAUCUAUUUGAGGCCAGGCAAGGGCCACUCCACACACCUCAACAAGGUGGUGGCUCUGAUGACUACAGUAGUGACCCCUUUCCUCAAUCUCUUCAUCUUCACCCUCUGGAAUGAGAAGGUCAAGGAGGUCAUUGAAGAUAUGACCAAAAGGCUCCUCUUCAGAGAUGCAGCAGUCCACAGAUGA